rnacentral:rRNA from 1 species
AUCGAGUUGUGGUUUAAACGUAAGGCUCUUGGAUGGGUCUGCGGCGGAUUAGGUUGUUGCCGGUGUAACGUACCAGCAAGCCUGUAAUCCGUACGGGUUGUGGGAGCAAGAGCCCGGAGAUGGAUUCUGAGACACGAAUCCAGGCCCUACGGGGCGCAGCAGGCGCGAAAACUCUACAAUGCAGGCAACUGCGAUAGGGGAACAUCGAGUGGCACCCACCAUGGGUGUCUGUCCAAUCGUCUAAAAAACGAUUGUCAGCAAGGGCCGGGCAAGACCGGUGCCAGCCGCCGCGGUAAUACCGGCGGCUCGAGUGGUGGCCGAUAUUAUUGAGUCUAAAGGGUCCGUAGCCGGCUUUGCAAGUCCCCUGGGAAAUCCAGCGGCUUAACCGUUGGGCUUUCAUGGGAAACUACAUUGCUUGGGACUGGGAGAGGUAGGAGGUACUCAGGGGGUAGGGGUGAAAUCCUGUAAUCCUUUGGGGACCACCGGUGGCGAAGGCGUCCUACCAGAACAGGUCCGACGGUGAGGGACGAAAGCUAGGGGCACGAACCGGAUUAGAUACCCGGGUAGUCCUAGCCGUAAACGAUGCUCGCUAGGUGUCACGGCAGUCGUGAAUUGUCGUGGUGCCGUAGGGAAGCCGUGA